AGAGUUUGAUUAUGGCUCAGAACGAACGCUGGCGGCGUGGAUAAGACAUGCAAGUCGAACGCUAAAUACGGGGUAGCAAUAUUCCGUGUUUGGAGUGGCGCAAGGGUGCGUAACACGUGGGCAAUUUGCCGUGAAGUUGGGGAUAACUCGCUGAAAGGCGAGCUAAUACCGAAUGUGACUGCCGGAGGGCAUCCUCUGGUUUUCAAAGUUGGGGACCGCAAGGCCUGACGCUUCAUGAUAAGCCCGCGGCCUAUCAGCUAGUUGGUGAGGUAACGGCUCACCAAGGCUAAGACGGGUAGCUGGUCUGAGAGGACGACCAGCCUCACUGGAACUGAGACACGGUCCAGACACCUACGGGUGGCAGCAGUCAAGAAUUUUUCUCAAUGGGGGAAACCCUGAAGGAGCGACGCCGCGUGGGGGAUGAAUGGCUUCGGCCCGUAAACCCCUGUCAUUUGCGAACAAUCCCGUUUGUUUAAUAAACAAACGGUUGCUAGUAGCGAAAGAGGAAGGGACGGCUAACUCUGUGCCAGCAGCCGCGGUAAUACAGAGGUCCCAAGCGUUGUUCGGAUUCACUGGGCGUAAAGGGUGCGUAGGUGGCCAGGUAAGUUUGAUGUGAAAUCUCCGAGCUUAACUCGGAAAGUGCAUUGAAUACUAUCUGGCUCGAGGGUUGGAGGGGAGACUGGAAUUCUCGGUGUAGCAGUGAAAUGCGUAGAUAUCGAGAGGAACACCAGUGGCGAAGGCGAGUCUCUGGACAACACCUGACACUGAGGCACGAAAGCUAGGGGAGCAAACAGGAUUAGAUACCCUGGUAGUCCUAGCUGUAAACGGUGCACAUUUGCUGUAUGAGGAAUCGACCCCUUUUGUGGCGAAGCUAACGCGUUAAAUGUGCCGCCUGGGGAGUACGGUCGCAAGAUUAAAACUCAAAGGAAUUGACGG
rnacentral:rRNA from 1 species